GUGGGGAAUAUUGGACAAUGGGCGAAAGCCUGAUCCAGCCAUGCCGCGUGUGUGAAGAAGGUCUUCGGAUUGUAAAGCACUUUAAGUUGGGAGGAAGGGCAGUAAGUUAAUACCUUGCUGUUUUGACGUUACCGACAGAAUAAGCACCGGCUAACUUCGUGCCAGCAGCCGCGGUAAUACGAAGGGUGCAAGCGUUAAUCGGAAUUACUGGGCGUAAAGCGCGCGUAGGUGGUUCAGCAAGUUGAAGGUGAAAUCCCCGGGCUCAACCUGGGAACUGCCUCCAAAACUACUGAGCUAGAGUACGGUAGAGGGUAGUGGAAUUUCCUGUGUAGCGGUGAAAUGCGUAGAUAUAGGAAGGAACACCAGUGGCGAAGGCGACUACCUGGACUGAUACUGACACUGAGGUGCGAAAGCGUGGGGAGCAAACAGGAUUAGAAACCCGUGUAGUCC
rnacentral:rRNA from 1 species